AUUGAACGCUGGCGGCAUGCCUUACACAUGCAAGUCGAACGGCAGCACGGGUUCUUGCACCUGGUGGCGAGUGGCGAACGGGUGAGUAAUACAUCUGAACAUUUCCUGUAGUGGUGGAUAGCCCGGCGAAAGCCGGAUUAAUACCGCAUACGAUCUACGGAUGAAAGCGGGGGACCUUCGGGCCUCGCGCUAUAGGGUUGGCCUAUGGCUGAUUAGCUAGUUGGUGGGGUAAAGGCCUACCAAGGCGACGAUCAGUAGCUGGUCUGAGAGGACGACCAGUAAAAAUGGGACUGAGACACGGACAAGACUCCUACGGGAGGCAGCAGUGGGGAAUUUUGGACAAUGGGCGAAAGCCUGAUACAGCAAUGCCGAGUGUGUGAAGAAGGCCUUCGGGUUGUAAAGCACUUUUGUCCGGAAAGAAAUACUUGGCCCUAAUACGGUCGGGGGAUGACGGUACCGGAAGAAUAAGCACCGGCUAACUACGUG
rnacentral:rRNA from 1 species